UACGGGGGGGGUAAGCGUUGUUCGGAAUUACUGGGCGUAAAGGGCUCGUAGGCGGCCAACUAAGUCGGGGGUGAAAUCCUGGAGCUCAACUCCAGAACUGCCUUCGAUACUGGGAAUCUUGAGUCCGGGAGAGGUGAGUGGAACUGCGAGUGUAGAGGUGAAAUUCGUAGAUAUUCGCAAGAACACCAGUGGCGAAGGCGGCUCACUGGCCCGGUACUGACGCUGAGGUGCGAAAGCGUGGGGAGCAAACAGG
rnacentral:rRNA from 1 species